rnacentral:rRNA from 1 species
GAUGAACGCUAGCUACAGGCUUAACACAUGCAAGUCGAGGGGUAACGAGAGGAAAGCUUGCUUUCCUUGUCGACGACCGGCGCACGGGUGAGUAACGCGUAUCCAACCUGCCCCCAACUAGGGAAUAACCUUGCGAAAGUAAGACUAAUACCCUAUAAUUUCCUCAGAUGUCAUCUGACGAGGAAUAAAGAUUUAUCGGUUGUGGAUGGGGAUGCGUCUGAUUAGCUUGUUGGCGGGGUAACGGCCCACCAAGGCAACGAUCAGUAGGGGUUCUGAGGGGAAGGGCCCCCACAUUGGAACGGAGACACGGUCCAAACUCCUACGGGAGGCAGCAGUGAGGAAUAUUGGUCAAUGGGCAGAAGCCUGAACCAGCCAAGUAGCGUGCAGGAUGACGGCCCUAUGGGUUGUAAACUGCUUUUAUACAGGAAUAAAGUUAGCCACGUGUGGUUAUUUGUAGGUACUGUAUGAAUAAGGACCGGCUAAUUCCGUGCCAGCCGCCGCCGUAA